rnacentral:rRNA from 1 species
CACUUUCAGUCGUGAGGAAGGUAGUGUAGUUAAUAGCUGCAGUAUUUGACGUUUAGCGACAGAAGAAAGCACCGGCUAACUCCGUGCCAGCAGCCGCGGUAAUACGGAGGGUGCGGGCGUUAAUCGGAAUUACUGGGCGUAAAGCGCAUGCAGGUGGUUUGUUAAGUCAGAUGUGAAAGACCCGGGGCGUCAACCUCGGAAUAGCAUUUGAAACUGGCAGACUAGAGUACUGUAGAGGGGGGUAGGAAUUUCAGGUGUAGCGGUGAAAUGCGUAGAGAUCUGAAGGAAUACCGGUGGCGAAGGCGGCCCCCUCGGACAGAUACUGACACUCAGAUGCGAAAGCGUGGGGAGCAAACAGGAUUAGAUACCCUGGUAG